UACGUAGGCAGCAAGCGUUGUUCGGAAUUACUGGGCGUAAAGAGUGUGUAGGUGGUGUCGUAAGUUUGGUGUGAAAUCUCCCGGCUUAACUGGGAGGGUGCGUCGAAGACUGCGAUGCUGGAGUAUGGGAGAGGAAAGCGGAAUUCCUGGUGUAGCGGUGAAAUGCGUAGAUAUCAGGAGGAACACCGGUGGUGUAGACGGCUUUCUGGACCGUAACUGACGCUGAGACACGAAAGCGUGGGUAGCAAACAGG
rnacentral:rRNA from 1 species